UACGUAGGGCGCAAGCGUUUAUCCGGAAUUAUUGGGCGUAAAGAGCUCGUAGGCGGUUUGUCGCGUCUGCCGUGAAAGUCCGGGGCUCAACUCCGGAUCUGCGGUGGGUACGGGCAGACUAGAGUGAUGUAGGGGAGACUGGAAAUUCCUGGUGUAGCGGUGAAAAUGCGCAGAUAUCAGGAGGAACACCGGUGGCGAAGGCGGUUCUCUGGGCAUGUCCUGACGUGAGGAGCGAAAGUGUGGGGGAGCGAACAGG
rnacentral:rRNA from 1 species